AAGCGCUGUACGAUGUAAGUCGUGUUGGUUCUGAGUCAUGGACGCUCGGUGACUGCAAUUUUGGGAAGGAAUAAUUGGAAUGUAGGUGGUUUCCCCAGCUAGAGCGCCAGUGACGCGCUGUGUUCUGCAGAGAAGCGCCGGUGUCUGGGCAGCGAGCAGGAGUCACGCUGUUUGGAAGCGGUAUUCGGAGAGCGACUGUCUGAGUGGAGCCCUGACCGUCGAUAUCACCGGAGGCUAAAGUAACAAAUGCGUGUUUGUUGGGGAAAAAAAAAAACGUGACAGAGACAGAGUGUGAAGGAAGUUGGGCGCCUGGUGAUAUGAUGAAAUGGGCAACAGAAGCGUGUUUCAUGGUAGCGUUUCACCCGAACAUCGGACAAGAAAAUGGACAAAAAUGGAUAGUAGUCUUCAAGCACAGACUCCUGCCUCACGCUGAGACAGAGGCUAAUUCAGUUUAAAUAAGGAAUAAUGUAAAACACAAUUAGUAAAAGUCUGAUACAAUAGUAAGGUCUGAUACAGUACCUUCACUCUUUAAAGGCGGUCACUACAGGGCCUCCAUCGAUUUAAGAUUAUAAUCUACCAAUUUAAUCGAUUACAUACUUAACGACCAGCUGUAAUUUGCAAUAUGAUGUUUUGUUACAUAUCAGUUGACUUUACGUAUGAAUUAGAAUUCUUUAUGCUCGCAAGACCUUUGUAACUGCUUAAUGGUUAGAGAAUUUCGGUUUUAAUAAAGAGCUGGCAGUAUGAA